rnacentral:lncRNA from 1 species
AAUAAUCUUACCAAAUAUAUUAAGACUACACGUCAAUUACGGAAGGGUCUUUUCCAUUGCUAGCUAAAGUUAAAGAGGGUUUUUAUAGAAACAAAACAAAGAGUAUGUAUUACCACUGAUACCUGAACUUCUAUACAAAUAAUCAAUUACAUGUGUAUCACUGCCCAUUGGAUUGAUAGUGAAUGGAAUAUGCGUAAGAGAAUAAUUAAUUUUUGUCCUAUUGUUAGUCAUAAAGGCG